AAUGUCAUUCACAAGAAAGAAGAAAAGCCAACAAGAAUAGUCAACAUCCAAUCCAUGGAUCAGAAAUAAGGACAAUUCCAUCAUAUUCAGCUGACAGCCAGUAGUUCAAAAAGGUUCAAGAUCCUGACUUCCAAGGAUUCUUUGCAUGUAUGUUCUUCUACUAGAUUGGUGUGGAGAGACUGAGAAUGGUGAGAUUGUUUCAAGAAUAGGCAGGAUUUGAAAAGAAAACUAAAGGAGGGGAAAAAAAGAGAGAACAGAAGAAAUUAAAGGAAGAGCACAUUCAAAGAUGAUAUUUGCUCAAAACCUGGGAAAAAGUUGCUAUGGAAACUAUAUUCUUUGGAUCCAUAAAUAUAGUUAACAUAAGCAGAAGCAGAAGUCAAGUCCAGUUGGAAUGAGGUCAGAAA